UUGAAUGAAAUCUAGAGUUGGUUGUCGCUGGCCCCCGGGCAAUGUGCACGCCUUCUCUUUUCAUCCACACACACCUGUGCACUUGUGAGACGCCGGGAGGGAAUUAAUUUCCUUCCCGCGUCUACUAAUCACACAAACUCAUCGUACUUAAAACUGAAUGUAAUUGAUGUAACACAUCAUUUGAAC
rnacentral:misc_RNA from 1 species